CUAGGGAAUGUUACACCAAAUUUUAUUUCUCCAAAACAUUUGCUUGAUGCUGCGGCAAGGAAACGAUCAGCCAGAAAGAAUUGAAUGACAAAUGCAAAGUUUGAGUGGAGAGGGUCUGAUGGGAUUGACCAAAUGAGGCCAAGUCAAGCCAAGUGAAGCCGCAACAUCUUAGAUGUUUUGGUUUAGAAACAAAUGUCUUGGAUAUUUUUUGUUUGAAUAAUGUUUGUGUUGUCUCAGUUUGAAUUUUUGGAUCGUUUAUUCUACAUGUAACAAAUGAACAAGUUAUGAUUUAAUGGCUUUACCAAAUGGUUUGUUUAUGUC